rnacentral:rRNA from 1 species
GGGUCCGCACAAGCGGUGGAGCAUGUGGUUUAAUUCGAUGCAACGCGAAAAACCUUACCUACUCUUGACAUACUUGGGAGCUCUUGUAAUGAGAGUGUGCCUUAUGGAACCAAGAUACAGGUGCUGCAUGGCUGUCGUCAGCUCGUGUCGUGAGAUGUUCCGUUAAGUCGGAUAACGAGCGCAACCCUUACCCUUAUUUGCCAGCGAUUCGGUCGGGAACUAUAAGGGGACUGCCGGUGAUAAACCGGAGGAAGGUGAGGACGACGUCAAGUCAUCAUGGCCCUUACGAGUAGGGCUACACACGUGCUACAAUGGUCGGUACAGAGGGCAGCUACCGGGUGACCGGAUGCG